GAUGAACGCUGACAGAAUGCUUAACACAUGCAAGUCAACUUGAAUUUGGGUUUUUAACUUAGAUUUGGGUGGCGGACGGGUGAGUAACGCGUAAAGAACUUGCCUCACAGCUAGGGACAACAUUUAGAAAUGAAUGCUAAUACCUGAUAUUACGAUUUUAAGGCAUCUUAGAAUUAUGAAAGCUAUAUGCACUGUGAGAGAGCUUUGCGUCCCAUUAGCUAGUUGGAGAGGUAACAGCUCACCAAGGCGAUGAUGGGUAGCCGGCCUGAGAGGGUGAACGGCCACAAGGGGACUGAGACACGGCCCUUACUCCUACGGGAGGCAGCAGUGGGGAAUAUUGGACAAUGGACCGAGAGUCUGAUCCAGCAAUUCUGUGUGCACGAUGAAGUUUUUCGGAAUGUAAAGUGCUUUCAGUUGGGAAGAAAUAAAUGACGGUACCAACAGAAGAAGUGACGGCUAAAUACGUGCCAGCAGCCGCGGUAAUACGUAUGUCACGAGCGUUAUCCGGAUUUAUUGGACGUAAAGCGCGUCUAGGUGGUUAUGUAAGUCUGACGUGAAAAUGCAGGGCUCAACUCUGUAUUGCGUUGGAAACUGUAUAACUAGAGUACUGGAGAGGUAAGCGGAACUACAAGUGUAGAGGUGAAAUUCGUAGAUAUUUGUAGGAAUGCCGAUGGGGAAGCCAGCUUACUGGACAGAUACUGACGCUAAAGCGCGAAAGCGUGGGUAGCAAACAGG
rnacentral:rRNA from 1 species